rnacentral:rRNA from 1 species
GGGGGAGGGGGGGGGGGGGGCGGGGGGGUGGGGGUGGAGGGGAGCUUUCGGGGGGAGGGGGGGGCGGGUGAGUAACGCGGGGGAGCGUGGCUUUCGGUUGGGAAUAGGUCAGGGAAACUUGUGCUACGCCAGAAUGUGAACUUCGGGGGAAAGAUUAAUCGCCUGUAGAGCGGCUCGCGUCUGAUUAGCUAGUUUGUCGAGGUAAUGGAUCACCAAGGCGACGAUCAGUAGCUGGUCUGAGAGGAUGAUCAGCCACAUUGGGACUGAGACACUGCCCAAACUCCUACGGGAGGCAGCAGUGGGGAAUCUUGCGCAAUGGGCGAAAGCCUGACGCAGCCAUGCCGCGUGAAUGAUGAAGGUCUUAGGAUUGUAAAAUUCUUUCACCGGGGACGAUAAUGACGGUACCCGGAGAAGAAGCCCCGGCUAACUUCGUG